UGGGGAAUAUUGCACAAUGGGGGAAACCCUGAUGCAGCGACGCCGCGUGAGUAAAGAAGUAUUUCGGUAUGUAAAGCUCUAUCAGCAGGGAAGAAAAUGACGGUACCUGACUAAGAAGCCCCGGCUAACUACGUGCCAGCAGCCGCGGUAAUACGUAGGGGGCAAGCGUUAUCCGGAUUUACUGGGUGUAAAGGGAGCGUAGACGGCAGCGCAAGUCUGAAGUGAAAUCCCAUGGCUUAACCAUGGAACUGCUUUGGAAACUGUGCAGCUGGAGUGCAGGAGAGGUAAGCGGAAUUCCUAGUG
rnacentral:rRNA from 1 species